GACCGCGUAGCUCACUGCCACUGGCAGAGCAUUGGGCUAGUAUUCCGAAGGUCAUGGGUUCGAUUCCCACCGUGGCG